rnacentral:rRNA from 1 species
UUCUAACCGUAAACGAUGACAACCAGCGAUUAAUCGGCGUUAAUAUAUGACCCGAUUAGCAGCUUCCGGGAAACCAAAGUUUUUCGUUUCCGGGGGAAGUAUGGUUGCAAAGCUGAAACUUAAAGGAAUUGACGGAAGGGCACCACCAGGAGUGGAGCCUGCGGCUUAAUUUGACUCAACACGGGAAAACUCACCCGGCCCGGACACCGUAAGGAUUGACAGACUGAGAGCUCUUUCUUAAUUCGGUGGGUGGUGGUGCAUGGCCGUUCUUAGUUGGUGGAGCGAUUUGUCUGGUUAAUUCCGAUAACGAACGAGACUCUGGCCUAUUAAAUAGACGAUAUAUUUAAAAGUAUAUCGCGCUUCUUAGAGGGACAAGCGGCGUCUAGCCGCAUGAAAUAGAGCAAUAACAGGUCUGUGAUGCCCUUAGAUGUCCGGGGCUGCACGCGCGCUACACUGAAAGAAUCAGUGUGCGUUACGCCUAGUUCGGAAGAACCGGGUAACCCAAGUAAAUUCUUUCGUGCUUGGGAUAGGGAAUUGCAAUUAUUUCCCUUAAACGAGGAAUUCCCAGUAAUGCGGGUCAUAAGCUCGCGUUGAUUA